CGUCUACACGUACCGAUUUUAUCGGCCGACUUUCUCGCAGAGGAACAAUUUUCAGGAUGUGCGCAUGCGCUAAAAAUCUGUCAUGUUCUCUGCGACGAUUUCAGAGCUAGUGUUCACCGCUCACUAGCCGACGAUAAAAUCGGCGACUCUAGCCAAUUAGAUUGCUUCCAGAGAUCACGUGCUUUUCUCUCUCAUUUUGGAAACAUGGCGCUUUUUCGUUGGAGCGAAAAUCAAAUUUUUCAAUUGAUUGAUUUUUAUAGAGACCAUGCUGUGUUGUGGGACACAAAUAACAUAAAUUAUAAAAAUAAAAAGUUAAAGGAUUCCCUUAUUUUGGACUUAAGCACACAAAUAUGCGUUCCAGAAAAUGAAAUUUAAAAAAAAUGGAGUAACCUGCGUACUCAAUUUACAAAGGAGAAACAUAAAGAGAAAAAAAAUUAUACAUCUGGUGCAAGCACUGCCAUGCAGUACAAAUCGGCAUGGCAGUUUUACACAUCGUUACAAUUUUUAAGUGAUGUCGUGUCCUUAAGGAAUACUGUGACUUCUUUGGAUUUUAAUGAUACUAGUACACAAGAAAGAAGUGCAGAAGUUACCAGUCAUUCUGAGGAGAUGUUUGACAUGAACGAUUUUGAAGACACUGAAGAGACACAGAGAGA